rnacentral:rRNA from 1 species
AAUCAACGGCACCACGAGGAUCCUACUGUCUCCCUACUCCAAUCAGUGAAACUGAUCUCUCCGUGAAGAAGCGGGGAUACAAAUAUAAGACGAGAAGACCCCAUGGAGCUUUAAACCCAACGACACCCAUUUUCUUUAUACCCUAGUAUUCAUUUGGCUAUGUUUGAUUGGUUUUAGGUUGGGGUGACCACGGAGCAUAAAAUAACCUCCACGAAGAAGAGACUAAUAAUCUUUAUCAAAGAAGUACACUUCUAAGAAUUAACAAAUUAAUUUCCAAUGAUCCGAUAUUCGAUCAACGAACCAAGUUACCCUGGGGAUAACAGCGCAAUCCACCUCAAGAGCUCCUAUCGACAGGUGGGUUUACGACCUCGAUGUUGGAUCAGGAUAUCCCAGUGGUGUAGCAGCUACUAA